CCAAGAGCUAAGGUCAGAGCCCAUUAGAAGAGGGUGGGGAAAGAGGCUGUGUGGAGAGAGAUUCAUGGCUUUCCAUUGUACUGGAAUUUAACUGGAAUGAGUGAAGCUGGUGUCCUCUGACCUCUGGUACAAGAGGGACUCAAAAAGCUCACACCUGGAUGUGACACGACCUUUCUGCUCUCAUUGGGAGGACUUAAUUUCAGGUCAUACCAGGCUUCCGAAGAUGCUGGAAAAUGUCAUUUCUGGCUUAUGCACAGUCUCAACUCUGUCAUAGACAAGAGAGAAAGCUUGCUUGGUCCACGACGCUUCCAGUACAGUGACCUGACCAAGCAGUGAAUGGAAGGGAUCAGACAGGUAA
rnacentral:lncRNA from 1 species